ACUUUUAGUGCUUGUAUAAAUAGCUUCAUGAAAGUAGGCUUAAGAGAAAUAUAUAUGUUAUAUAAUAAUAUAUACUGAUAUGCGGACAGUGUACCUGACUUCAUGGAUGACAAAACUUUCUUGCACUCUUCCCUGAAGGAGCUUCUCAUGUUGAUUUUCUUGGUGACUAGCUCUCUGGUAGCUCCACCAUCCUUCUCUUUUAAUUUUGCAACAAGCAAGUCAUACGCUGCAUUCUUUUUACUUUAUCUGAAUACUUAUUAGACCUGAUCGAUUUUCCAAAGGCAUGGAUUUUCCUUGUACAUUUCAAUAAAUUCUGCCCAAAAUUGGCGCUCCUCUGUGGUGCAGCUGGUGGUCAGUGCGGCAGAUAUGUUGACAGUAGGUAGCGUAGAGUGUACUGAGAAAUGUGGCCUCAUGUGCUACCUCAUGUGCCCUUACACGCUCAAACAAGCCUGUCCAGCCUGAACCGGACGCUGGCCGGACGGAGCCAACCUGUCAGCUACAGUUUGCAGAUCAUGCUGCUGAGGGAGCGUCUACAUCAUCAAGAAGUAGCAGUGUCUGCAGUGACCGUGACAGACCAUCACCAGAGAGUUCUGAACCAAUUGAUUCUCUCACGGGAGGAGUGAGAAGAAAAAAAACAGAGACCUUUGACUACUUCUGCUGAAAAUGUUCUCACACUCAUCAGAGAGCGCAUCUCAUCUUCCCAGCCGAAGGAUGAGUUUGACAUUGUUGGAAAAAGUGUUGCAACAAAACUCAGGAAAAUGACAGCAGAUAUGCAACUAACAACAAACACGGAAUUAAAAGACUCAUCAACACCUUAUCCUUUCACCUAUGUUUCAUCAUUAACUCCUCUCCAAAUGUCUGUCCAGGAUGAGCAACCUCAGCAGCAGACUACAAUAAAUUACAUAUAAUUACUCACACUAUCUAUUUCGUGCUGCUUUACAUACACAGUAGGACAAUAAUUUCAUUUUCUUUUUGCAUCACAUUGCCAUUCCAAUAAAGAAAUCAAAAGUU